GGGGGGGGUGCUGGGGGGACUCUGUGGCUGUGGAUGGGCUCAGGAGGUCUCUGGGGUUCCUGGGAGGUCUCUGGGGGUCCUUGGGUCUCUAUGGGGUCCCUGGGGGUCUGUGGGGUUUCUAUGGGGUCUGUGGGGUGUCUCUGGGAUCCCUGGGGGUCCCUAACCCCACCCCUCCAUCCCCAGGGGUCCCUGGGGGUCUGUGGGGUCUCUCUGGGAUCCCUGGGGGUCCCUAAGCCCCUCCCCAUCCCCAGGGGUCCCUGGGGGUCUCCCCGGCCGGGUUCUCUCUCCUGACCCACCUGCUCUCGGCCCUGGGGAGGGGGCGGCUGCUGCUGCUGCUGCAGCGGCCUGGCCAGCAUCGCCCGCACCCUGAGCGAGCACCAGCGCUACUGGGGCUGCCUGCAGAGCGCCGGUGAGGGCACCCCCAAACUGGGGCACCCCCAAACUGGGGCUCCCCAGUCUGGAGCUCCCCAAACUGGGGCUCCCCAAACUGGAGCUCCCCAAACGGGGGCACCCACAAACUGGAGCUCCCCAAAGUGGGGCACCCCGAAACUAGGGCUCCCCAAAGUGGGGCACCCCAAAGUGGGGCACCCCAAAGUCGGGCACCCCCAAACUGGAGCUCCCCAAACUGGAGCACCCCCAAAGUGGGGCUCCCCAAAGUGGAGCACCCCAAAGUGGGGGGACACCCUGAAACUGGGAGCAACCCGAAACCUGGGGGAUACCCCAAAAUCCUGGGGGCACCCCGAAACCUGGGGGGAGGACACCCUGAAAUCUGGGGGGGGGGGGGGGGGGGGGGGGGGGGGGGGGGGGGGGGGGGGGGGGGGGGGGGGGGGGGGGGGGGGCACCCCGAAAAACUGGGGGCACCCUGAAAGCUGGGGGGGACCCCAGAACCUGGGGGCGGGGAAAGGCAACCUGAAAUCCUGGGGGAACCCCGAAACUUUGGGGGGGGCACCCCAGAAUCUGGGAGGACACCCCAAAAUCCGCCCUAGAAAUCCCCAAAAUCCACCCCAGGCAUCCUAAAAUCCGCCCCAGACACCCCAAAAUUCCCCUCAGGAAUCCCCAAAGCCCUUUAGGGAGCCCCCAGAGCAUCAGGAACCCCCAAAAUCUUCUCGGGGAACCCCAGAAUUGUGUGGGAGCUGCCCCUGAGGUGCCUCCCCUGCACAGAGGCCGAGGAGGAGGAGGAGGAGGAGGAAGAGGAGGAGGAGGAGGAGGAGGAGGAGAAAGAAGAGGAGGAGGAGGAGGAAGGAGAGGAGGGAGAGGAAGAAGGGGGGGAAGAAGAGGAGGAGGAUGAGGAGGAGGAAAAGGAGGAACUGGAGGGGGAUGGGAACCCCCCAGAGACCCCCCCAGAGACCCCCCCAGAGACCCCUGCCGGAGCCAGAGUGGGGCUGGUGUAUGACCCGCGGAUGGAGGAGCACAGGAACACCUGGGACAGGUAAGAAAGGGUUAAACACACAACUGGGACAGGUGAGAAAGGGUUAAACACCGGGGACAGGUGAGAAAGGGUUAAACACACACCUGGGACAGGUGAGAAAGGGUUAAACACCGGGGACAGGUGGCAGGAGCUGUGCCUGUCCCGGGGUGGGUUUGGGGUGAGGUAGGGAUGUUUGGGUGAUUUUUGAGGUGAUUUUU
rnacentral:lncRNA from 12 species